rnacentral:rRNA from 1 species
AAACCAGACCGAGCAGCAUCUGAGAGCCAUGGCGCAUAAACGCUUCACUCCACGGCGUGGAGUCAUCUGUCACGCUGCGGUGAAUUCCAGACCACUUCCCAACCGAAGAAAGCGCUGACCACAAACACGGUAUGGAACAGCAUACGCACCGGUGCCAACAGCACAGAGAACAACACUUCCAGCAGCAACGAAAGCGUUACGCGACAGAAACCGCCAUACUCUUUCGAACCUUUGCACCAGAUAAGGAUGAUACUCAGUAGCUUCGGCAGGAACAGCAGCACCAUGGUGGAAGCAAACAGCGCGAUCGCCAGUUCCGGACGCCACUGCGGCCACACCGGGAACAGCUGGCGCGGUUGCAGGAAGUAUUGUGGUUCCGUCAACGCAUGCACAACCUGCAGUGCAGUCGACAGUAGCGAGGAACAUAAACCACAGCGGAGCAGACAGAUAAGACAUAACGCCCGUACAGGAACACCGCACGGUGUACCGGGUAGCAUACCUUUUCACCAGGGAACAGGCGGAAGUUCAUCAGGGUUACCCCUGNACACC